UUUAAAGGACGAGAUUGCUCGUUGUUGAAACCGUCAAAUAUAUUUAAAAUAAUAAAUUAAUGUACAGCCUGUAUAUGCUGUGUCAAUGCCCCGAGGCAAAACAACAUGAGUCGCUCACGAUUCACGUCGUCCUUUGACUCCUCCGCCCCUACAACCUGAUCACUCCCUUGCGAUUAUUUGUUAUUCUCCAGAAUGAAAAAAUAAAACAAAAAUCGUUAUGCGAACUAUGCACUAUAGAAAAAAGUGCUUUCAGAAAUGUGUUAGUGAUUGAAUGACACGCUGGCAAAAAUAUAUUGUAUUCUGUUGAGGUUGACUGAUAGAAGAGCGAGUGGAUGAAUUUGUAAUAGAAAAAUAUAUUGAAAUAAAUAAAAGUAUAAGUAUAA
rnacentral:misc_RNA from 1 species